rnacentral:rRNA from 1 species
AUUGAACGCUGGCGGCAGGCCUAACACAUGCAAGUCGAACGAGUGGCGGACGGGUGAAUAGUGUCUGGGAAACUGCCUGAUGGAGGGGGAUAACUACUGGAAACGGUAGAUAAUACCGCAUACCAUCGGAUCUGCCCUGGUGGGAUUAGCGAGUAGGUGGGGUAAAGGCUCACCUAGGCGACGCUCCCUAGCUGGUCUGAGAGGAUGACCGGCCACACUGGAACUGAGACACGGUCCAGACUCCUACGGGAGGCAGCAGUGGGGAAUAUUGCACAAUGGGCGAAAGCCUGAUGCAGCCAUGCCGCGUGUAUGAAGAAGGCCUUCGGGUUGUAAAGUACUGUCAGCGGGGAGGCGGUACCCGAAGAAGAAGCACCGGCUAACUCCGUGCCAGCAGCCGCGGUAAUAC